UAAAAAUCUUUAGUUCUCUUUGACAAUUGAGUCUAUCCUCAUUGGGACAGUUUCCAAGUCUACAUUUACAACAUCAAUAGGUCCAUCAUGUUAAAUAUCAAGUUCUAUUUCUCUGUUCUCCUGGCCCUCUCCUGGAUCGAUAGAAAAAUGAUUUUCUUUCUCGUCCUUAGGAUGAGAGUUAGAGGAUUCCCCAAAAACUUUAUUCCUUGUAGUUUGGAAAAGUGUUAAUAGAUAUACUGCACUCCGAUACGUGUGUAGACAUGAAACGACGAAAGGGAAAGGGAAAGGGAAAGGGAGAGGGUCCCAAAGCAGUGAUGAAAGACAAGAUAAGAGGAUAAUUGGAUAUGUGAAAUUAUAUAAUAUGAUGUGUCGUAUAUGUAUGAUCAAGCUCGUCCUAAAUUAAAGUCCCGUGGUUUUGGUGCCACAUGUUUUUCUCUUUGCCACUGGUUUUUCUUAGUUAUGUCCAUACUAUUCGAUGAUUCAUUCACUAGUGUCUUGCUCGUUUUGACACCGUA